AUACGGAGGGUGCGAGCGUUAAUCGGAAUUACUGGGCGUAAAGCGCGCGUAGGCAGUUUGUUAAGUUGGGCGUGAAAGCCCGGGGCUCAACCCCGGAACUGCGUUCGAAACUGGCAAGCUAGAGUUCGGGAGAGGGUGGUGGAAUUUCCAGUGUAGAGGUGAAAUUCGUAGAUAUUGGAAAGAACACCGGUGGCGAAGGCGACCACCUGGACCGAUACCGACGCUGAGGUGCGAAAGCGUGGGGAGCAAACAGGAUUAGAAACCCCAGUAGUCC
rnacentral:rRNA from 1 species